UACGUAGGGUGCAAGCGUUAAUCGGAAUUACUGGGCGUAAAGCGUGCGCAGGCGGUUUUGUAAGUCUGUCGUGAAAUCCCCGGGCUCAACCUGGGAAUGGCGAUGGAGACUGCAAGGCUAGAGUUUGGCAGAGGGGGGUAGAAUUCCACGUGUAGCAGUGAAAUGCGUAGAUAUGUGGAGGAACACCGAUGGCGAAGGCAGCCCCCUGGGUCAAAACUGACGCUCAUGCACGAAAGCGUGGGGAGCAAGCAGG
rnacentral:rRNA from 1 species